rnacentral:tRNA from 1 species
GCCAGUGAGGCAUAGUGGUUUGAGUGUUGGACUACAACUCUGGAGACGAGGGUUCAAAUCCCAGCUCAGCCA